GCGAAAACUUUACAAUGCUGGCAACAGUGAUAAGGGAACUCCGAGUGCCUGUAAAAUCAGGCUGUCCGCCAGUGUAAAUAACUGGUGAAGAAAGGGCCGGGCAAGACCGGUGCCAGCCGCCGCGGUAAUACCGGCGGCUCGAGUGGUGGCCACUAUUACUGGGCUUAAAGCGUUCGUAGCUGGUUUGUUAAGUCUCUGGGGAAAUCCUCCGGCUCAACCGGAAGGCGUCUCAGGGAUACUGGCAGACUAGGGACCGGAAGAGGUGAGAGGUACUUCAGGGGUAGGAGUGAAAUCCUGUAAUCCUUGAGGGACCACCUGUGGCGAAGGCGUCUCACCAGGACGGCUCCGACAGUGAGGAACGAAAGCUGGGGGAGCAAACC
rnacentral:rRNA from 1 species